UCUGUAGGCUGAUGAAGGUGCAUUGAGAAGUGUGCUGGAGGUAUCAGAAGUGCGAAUGCUGACAUGAGUAACGAUAAUGUGGGUGAAAAGCCCACACGCCGGAAGUCCCAGGUUUCCUGCACGACGUUAAUCGGAGCAGGGUGAGUCGGCCCCUAAGGCGAGGCUGAAGAGCGUAGUCGAUGGGAACCAGGUUAAUAUUCCUGGACUUUUUAUAAGUGGUGAAGUGGGGACGAAGAAGGCUAGGUGAGCCAGGCGUUGGUUGUCCUGGUACUUGCAUGUAGGGGGGAAGACUUGGCAAAUCCGGUUUUCCAUAACUCUGAGGUGCGAAGUGGUUCUGACCUUUUGGUACAGAGAAGUCAUUGAUGCCCGGCUUCCAGGAAAAGCUGCUAGCCAUAACUUAUAGAGAACCGUACCGCAAACCGACACAGGUGGACAGGUAGAGAAUACUAAGGCGCUUGAGAGAACUCGGGUGAAGGAACUAGGCAAAAUGGUACCGUAACUUCGGGAGAAGGUACGCCCUUUUGGGUGAGGGCAUUUACUGUCUGAGCUUAAGAGGGCCGCAGAGACCAGGUGGCUGCGACUGUUUAUUAAAAACACAGCACUCUGCAAAUUCGUAAGAAGACGUAUAGGGUGUGACGCCUGCCCGGUGCCGGAAGGUUAAUUGAUGGGGUUAUCUUCGGAGAAGCUCUUGAUCGAAGCCCCGGUAAACGGCGGCCGUAACUAUAACGGUCCUAAGGUAGCGAAAUUCCUUGUCGGGUAAGUUCCGACCUGCACGAAUGGCGUAACGAUGGCCACACUGUCUCCACCCGAGACUCAGUGAAAUUGAAAUCGCUGUGAAGAUGCAGUGUACCCGCGGCUAGACGGAAAGACCCCGUGAACCUUUACUAUAGUUUUGCACUGGACUUUGAUGAUGACUGUGUAGGAUAGGUGGGAGGCUGUGAAGUGAGGACGCUAGUUCUCAUGGAGCCGCCCUUGAAAUACCACCCUGUUGUUAUUGAGGUUCUAACUUGGUCCAGUAAUCCUGGAUGAGGACAGUGUAUGAUGGGUAGUUUGACUGGGGCGGUCUCCUCCCAAAGAGUAACGGAGGAGCACAAAGGUACCCUCGGUACGGUCGGACAUCGUACCAAGAGUGUAAAGGCAAAAGGGUGCUUGACUGCGAGAGUGACGGCUCGAGCAGGAACGAAAGUUGGUCUUAGUGAUCCGGUGGUUCUGAAUGGAAGGGCCAUCGCUCAACGGAUAAAAGGUACUCCGGGGAUAACAGGCUGAUACCGCCCAAGAGUUCAUAUCGACGGCGGUGUUUGGCACCUCGAUGUCGGCUCAUCACAUCCUGGGGCUGAAGCAGGUCCCAAGGGUAUGGCUGUUCGCCAUUUAAAGUGGUACGCGAGCUGGGUUUAGAACGUCGUGAGACAGUUCGGUCCCUAUCUGCCGUGGGCGUAGGAAAAUUGAGAGGAGCUGCUCCUAGUACGAGAGGACCGGAGUGGACGAACCUCUGGUGCACCGGUUGUCACGCCAGUGGCAUGGCCGGGUAGCUAAGUUCGGACGGGAUAACCGCUGAAAGCAUCUAAGCGGGAAGCCUCCCUCAAGAUGAGUUUUCCCAUGAAGCCCGUUGAAGACUACGACGUUGAUAGGCAAGGUGUGGAAGCGCAGUAAUGCGUGAAGCUAACUUGUACUAAUUGGCUGAUUGUCUUGACCA
rnacentral:rRNA from 1 species